UACGUAGGUGGCAAGCGUUGUCCGGAUUUACUGGGCGUAAAGAGCGCGCAGGCGGUCGAUUAAGUCAAGUGUGAAAGCCCCCGGCUCAACUGGGGAGGGUCACUUGAUACUGGUCGACUCGAAGGCAGGAGAGGGAAGUGGAAUUCCCGGUGUAGUGGUGAAAUGCGUAGAUAUUGGGAGGAACACCAGUGGCGAAGGCGGCUCACUGGACUGGUACUGACGCUGAUGCGCGAAAGCGUGGGGAGCAAACGGG
rnacentral:rRNA from 1 species